rnacentral:lncRNA from 1 species
UAGCUUCGAGCCUGUGCAACCUCGGUCUCCAUCAACUUCAACUUAGUCUUCUAGGACCGGACCUCCUCUUCGACCUUGGAUCCAUCUGAGGGGGAACUGACAUCGAAGGGAUUGACCUCGGGUGGCCCUCCAGUCGAAGACCAAAAAAGCUGAAAAUGACCUUGAUGCACUCAUCUCUGGAUAUUUCUAAGUGAAGUAGAAAAAGCAAAGAGGUCUACUAAAAUUCGAUGAUCGAGUUGGCCAAAUGACAGGACUUCAAGUUUGGUGAUCGGAGUUUGUCUAUAGUUGAGGAUAAUGGAGUUCAGCUACACUGAGGAUGAAUGCAUCGACUGAUAGUGAUCAUCGGAGGUUCAUCGAAAAUCACCCGGCAAUCACUCUCCGAGCUCAAAAAGAGGAAAGCGGCAAAGUGGUGGAGGCCCCAGCAAAAGCGAUUGGCCAUUUAUAAGGAGUUGGACAGCCCCAAUCUGAUGACCAUUUAGGUUGCCACCGUGGAUGAACGUCAUUUAGUAGCUCAUGAUUGACCAUCGUCGGCUCAACACAGAAACUCAGAUUCGACGAUCUAGAUCAACUAAUUGAGACAUCAAUGGCAUAGAUUCUCGACAUUUGUCAUGAAUUGAUUG